ensembl:lncRNA
GCAGCCUCUGACGCUGCCGCCCCUGAAGUAGCCUCCGUUGCUACCGCCCCAGAAGCAGCCUCUGAUGCUGCCGCCUCCGAGGUCGUCUCUGCUGCCCCAGAUGUAGCCUCCGUCGCUACCACUCCCAAAGCAGCCUCUGCCUCUCCCGAAGCAGCUUCUGAUGCUGCCACCCCCGAAGCAGCCUCUGACGCUGCCGCCCCCGACGUAGCCUCUGUCGCUACCACCCCAGAAGCAGCCUCUGAUGCCACUGGCGUAGCCUCCGUCGCUACCACUCCCGAAGCACCCACUGCUGCCCCCGACGUAGUCUCUGUUGCUAGCAACCCCGAAGCAGCCUCUGUCGCUGCUGUCCCUGAAGCAGCCUCUGAUGCCACUGACGUAGCCUCCGUCGCUACCGCUCCCGAAGCACCCACUGCUGCCCCCGACGUAGCCUCUGUUGCUAGCAACCCCGAAGCAGCCUCUGUCGCUGCUGUCCCUGAAGCAGUCUCUGAAGAAAUUGCUGAUGGUGACGCCACUGAGGCCUACGCCACAGCAGAGCCAGCCGCCGCAGAUCAAGCCGCCGCUCUCCCUGCAGACCGAGCCGUCGCUCACCCUGCAGACCCGGCCGUCGCUGACCCUGCAGACCCGGCCGUCGCUGACCCUGCAGACCCAGCCGUCGCUGACCCAGCAGACCCAGCCGACGCUCACCCAGCUUGUGCGUACCCUACAGCCAGCGCUGCCGACCCGGACCCCGCAGCCACCGCUGCCGACCCGCACCCCGCAGCUGACCCGGACCCUGCUGCCACAGCUGCCAACCAAGAUCCUCCAGCAUCCGUUUCCGAUGCAGGCCCAGCAGCACCCUCUGCCGAGACCGGUCCAGCAGCACCUUCUGAUGGCGUCGCUGCUGAGGGCUCUGCUGUUCCAAGCGCCCCUGGCCGGAGUGCCCCUGUCCCGAGCGCCCCUGGCCGGAGCGCCCCUGUCCCGAGCGCCCCUGUCCCGAGCGCCCCUGUCCCGAGCGCCCCGGUCCCGAGCGCCCCAGGCGCCCCUGUCCCCAGCGUUCCAGGCGUCCCUGUCCCGAGCGUCCCAGGCUCCCCUGUCCCGAGCGUCCCAGGCUCCCCUGUCCCGAGCGUCCCAGGCGCCCCUGUCCCGAGCGUCCCAGGCUCCCCUGUCCCGAGCGUCCCAGGCUCCCCUGUCCCGAGCGUCCCUGGCUCCCCUGUCCCGAGCGUCCCAGGCUCCCCUGUCCCGAGCGUCCCAGGCUCCCCUGUCCCGAGCGUCCCAGGCUCCCCUGUCCCGAGCGUCCCAGGCGCCCCUGUCCCGAGCGUCCCAGGCGCCCCUGUCCCGAGCGUCCCAGGCGCCCCUGUCCCGAGCGUCCCAGGCUCCCCUGUCCCGAGCGCCCCUGUCCCGAGCGUCUCAGGCGCCCCGGUCCCGAGCGUCCCAGGCUCCCCUGUCCCGAGCGCCUCAGGCGUCCCGGUCCCGAGCGUCUCCGGCGUUCCUGUCAAAGGUGUCC